UACAGAGGCCUCGAGCGUUAGGCGGAAUCACUGGGCUUAAAGCGUGUGUAGGUGGAUGCCUAAGUACCUUGUGAAAUCCCAUGGCUUAACCAUGGAAUUGCUCGGGAUACUGGGUGUCUUGAGCCACUCAGGGGCUACCGGAACAAGCGGUGGAGCGGUGAAAUGCGUAGAUAUCGCUUGGAACGCCAAAGGUGAAAACAGGUAGCUGGGGGUGUGCCGACGCUGAGACACGAAAGCCAGGGGAGCGAACGGG
rnacentral:rRNA from 1 species